rnacentral:rRNA from 1 species
GACGAACGCUGGCGGCGUGCUUAACACAUGCAAGUCGAACGGAAAGGCCCUGCUUUUGUGGGGUGCUCGAAUGGCGAACGGGUGAGUAACACGUUAGUAACCUGCCCUUGACUUUGGGAUAACUUCAGGAAACUGGGGCUAAUACCGGAUAGGAGCUCCUGCUGCAUGGUGGGGGUUGGAAAGUUUCGGCGGUUGGGGAUGGACUCGCGGCUUAUCAGCUUGUUGGUGGGGUAGUGGAUUACCAAGGCUUUGACGGGUAGCCGGCCUGGUAGGGUGAGCGGCCACAUUGGGACUGGGAUGCGGCACAGACUCCUACGGUAGGGAGCAGUGGGGAAGAGUGUACGAGGGGCGGAAGCCUGAUGCAGCAACGCCGCGUGCGGGAUGACGGCAUUCGGGUUGUAAACCACUUUCGCCUGUGAUGAAGAGUGAGUGACGGUAAUGGGUAAAGAAGCACCGGCUAACUACGUG